rnacentral:rRNA from 1 species
GGCUAACGCUGGCGGCGUGUCUUAGCCAUGCAAGUCGAGCGGACUUAUGGGGUAACUUAUAAGUCAGCGGCGGACGGCGGAGUAACACGUAGCUAACCUACCCUCUGGACGGGGAUAACCUACCGAAAGGUGGGCUAAUACCCGAUGUAGUCAUCCUGUAUGGGGGUGAUGAAAGGUGGGCUUCUGUUUACAAGCUCAUGCUGGAGGAGGGGGCUGCGGCCUAUCAGGUAGUUGGUAGGGUAAUAGCCUACCAAGCCGAUGACGGGUAGCCGGCCUGAGAGGGUGACCGGCCCGAGGGGCACUGAGAUACGGGUCCCACUCCUACGGGAGGCAGCAGGCUAGAAAUUUGGGCAAUGGGGGAAACCCUGACCCAGUGACGCCGCGUGCAGGAAGGAGCCCUUCGGGGUGUAAACUGCUGUCGUGUAGGGAGAAGGGUACUAAGGUGAACAAUCUUAGUACUUGACGGUACUACAGGAGGAAGCCCAGGCUAACCUCGUG